rnacentral:rRNA from 1 species
CUUCGGCCUUAGUGGCGCACGGGUGCGUAACGCGUGGGAAUCUGCCCCUUGGUUCGGAAUAACAGUUGGAAACGACUGCUAAUACCGGAUGACGACGUAAGUCCAAAGAUUUAUCGCCGAGGGAUGAGCCCGCGUAAGAUUAGCUAGUUGGUGUGGUAAAGGCGCACCAAGGCGACGAUCUUUAGCUGGUCUGAGAGGAUGAUCAGCCACACUGGGACUGAGACACGGCCCAGACUCCUACGGGAGGCAGCAGUGGGGAAUAUUGGACAAUGGGCGAAAGCCUGAUCCAGCAAUGCCGCGUGAGUGAUGAAGGCCUUAGGGUUGUAAAGCUCUUUUACCCGGGAUGAUAAUGACAGUACCGGGAGAAUAAGCUCCGGCUAACUCCGUGCCAGCAGCCGCGGUAAUACGGAGGGAGCUAGCGUUAUUCGGAAUUACUGGGCGUAAAGCGCACGUAGGCGGCUUUGUAAGUUAGAGGUGAAAGCCUGGAGCUCAACUCCAGAAUUGCCUUUAAGACUGCAUCGCUUGAAUCCAGGAGAGGUGAGUGGAAUUCCGAGUGUAGAGGUGAAAUUCGUAGAUAUUCGGAAGAACACCAGUGGCGAAGGCGGCUCACUGGACUGGUAUUGACGCUGAAGUGCGAAAGCGUGGGGAGCAAACAGGA